GGCCACCCUCCCACCCGUGUCUCUCUCUACCUGUUGCUUUGGCGGGCCCACCGGGGCCACCCGGUCGCCGGGGGACGUCCGUCCCCGGGCCCGCGCCCGCCGAAGCGCUCUGUGAACCCUGAUGAAGAUGGGCUGUCUGAGUCGAAUGAAAAUUGUCAAAACUUUCAACAAUGGAUCUCUUGGUUCCGGCAUCGAUGAAGAACGCAGCGAAAUGCGAUAAGUAAUGUGAAUUGCAGAAUUCCGUGAAUCAUCGAAUCUUUGAACGCACAUUGCGCCCCCUGGCAUUCCGGGGGGCAUGCCUGUCCGAGCGUCAUUUCUGCCCUCAAGCCCGGCUUGUGUGUUGGGCGUGGUCCCCCCGGGGACCUGCCCGAAAGGCAGCGGCGACGUCCGUCUGGUCCUCGAGCGUAUGGGGCUUUGUCACUCGCUCGGGACGGAUCGGCGGAGGUUGGUCACCACCACAGUUUUACCACGGUUGACCUCGGAUCAGGUAGGAGUUACCCGCUGAACUUAAGCAUAUCA
rnacentral:rRNA from 1 species